AUUGAACGCUGGCGGCAGGCUUAACACAUGCAAGUCGAGCGAGCGGCGGACGGGUGAGUCAUGUCUGGGAAACUGCCUGAUGGAGGGGGAUAACUACUGGAAACGGUAGAUAAUACCGCAUACCAUCAGAUGUGCCCAGAUGGGAUUAGCUAGUAGGUGGGGUAAAGGCUCACCUAGGAGACGAUCCCUAGCUGGUCUGAGAGGAUGACCAGCCACACUGGAACGUAGACACGGUCCAGACUCCUACGGGAGGCAGCAGUGGGGAAUAUUGCACAAUGGGCGCAAGCCUGAUGCAGCCAUGCCGCGUGUAUGAAGAAGGCGUUAGGGUUGUAAAGUACUUGCAGCGGGGAGGCGUUACCCGCAGAAGAAGCACCGGCUAACUCCGUGCCAGCAGCCGCGGUAAUAC
rnacentral:rRNA from 1 species